rnacentral:rRNA from 1 species
AACGAACGCUGGCGGCAGGCCUAACACAUGCAAGUCGAGCGAGGACUUCGGUCCUAGCGGCGGACGGGUGAGUAACGCGUGGGAACGUGCCCUUUGCUUCGGAAUAGCCCUGGGAAACUGGGAGUAAUACCGGAUGAGCCCUUUGGGGGAAAGAUUUAUCGGCGAAGGAUCGGCCCGCGUUGGAUUAGGUAGUUGGUGGGGUAAUGGCCUACCAAGCCGACGAUCCAUAGCUGAUUUGAGAGGAUGAUCAGCCACACUGGGACUGAGACACGGCCCAGACUCCUACGGGAGGCAGCAGUGGGGAAUCUUAGACAAUGGGGGAAACCCUGAUCUAGCCAUGCCGCGUGAGCGAUGAAGGCCUUAGGGUUGUAAAGCUCUUUCAGCUGGGAAGAUAAUGACGGUACCAGCAGAAGAAGCCCCGGCUAACUCCGUG